UUAUAUAGUUUAAAUCAAAACAUUACAUUUUCAUUGUAAUAAUAAAAAUAUUAAUAUUUUUAUAAAUA
rnacentral:tRNA from 1 species